rnacentral:rRNA from 1 species
AUGGUACAAGGGAAGUCCGCCGGUGCAAGUUAUCAUUGGAUUGCUGAACACUUUGGGGAAUGUCCGGCUGAUGCAGACGAUCAAACAGUGUAGCAGUAUACCAGGGCAUACUUGUGGUAUGCAGUCAGCCGGACUCUUUUCUCUGACGGCACUGGCGUCAACGCUUCCUUUAUGUGA